UUCCCACCACUCUCAAGCUGCAAAGCCUGACUUCAGAUAAUAAGGUUUCAGUGCUAAGCAGUCCAUUUAGUUCCUCUAGGCGUAUAGAUUGAGCAAUUCUAGGAUUUUCUCCUCUUAAAGUUACUUCUCUGUUCUGCCACCAAAAGGAUACCCAUCUAUCUUCAUAGUUGGACAAUACAUUUCCUAGCAGCUUCAACCAUUGGAUUCCCAAAAUCAUAUCAUAGUUUUGUAACUUCAUAACAUAUAUGUCUGCCUGAAACUGAACUCCUUGCAUCUUCCACUGCAGGUUCUUACAUACUGAAGUGCAAGACAUGGUGCCACCAUUAGCUGCCUCCACCACCAUAGGCUUUAUGGUUGUCGUGGGGCAUUCAAGUUUGUCCAUCAGAUCAGCAUGAAUGAAGUUGUGAGUACUGCCCGAAUCAAUCAAGAUUAAGAUGGGACAUUUGUCUAUCUUUCCCCAUACCUUAAUGGUUUGACAUCCUGCUGUGCCAUGGAUUGCUUGGAGAGAUAGAUGAGGGGUGAGAUUUUCUGUAUUCCUUGCCUCCAUGGUUUCCUCUUCUUCUGAUGAAUUAUCUCCAUCAUCCUCUACUAUACAGAGGGAAUAUAGCUUGCGAUUUCUGCAUCUAUGCCCUGGUACGAACUUAUCAUCACACCAAAAGCAUAGGCCCUUGGCUCUUCUUUCAUCCAUUUCUUUGGUUCUGAUAGGUCUGGCAGGUUUGUGGUUAGGGUAUACAUUAUUAUUGUUGAAGGGUGGGUUGGUAGGCGUAGGCAACAAGGCUGGUGGGGAAGGUUUUGAAGGAUUGAAGGGGUGACUGGGGUUGGUCUUGUAAGUGCUGGCAGGAUAUGUAAAUUUUGCAGGCUGGGAGUUGGAACUUGCCAGGCUAUGUUGUUUUGGGUAAUGAGGGGUGAUUUUUCGGUAUGUGAGGGUAUUGUUGUGCAACCUAGCUAGGUUGUAAGCUUGUUUGAGUGAUUUUGGCUCGAACAUUUUUACUAGGUUCUUGAUUUCUAUCUCCAAGCCUCCUAGGAAGAACACCAAGGCCUGCUUCUCUGAGAUUUGUGCUCUAUUCCAUAGCAUAUCAAAGUCCCUGAUAUAACCUUCCAAGUCUCCUUCCUGCUUGUGCUCAGUGAGUUCUUCUAAGGGGUCCUUUUGACCUCCAAAUCGACAGCACAAUGCAUCCACAUAUUCUGCCCAUGUAACCUCAUGUCCUUCUAGGUUUCUGGUAUAAUUCUGAUGCCAGUAAAGUGCCAAGCCAUCCAAAUAAUAUGAAGCUAGUUUCAGUUUGUCAGUCUCAGGAAUUUCUUCUAAGUCGAAAUACUGGUUGCAUUUGUACAACCAUUUAUGCACUUCUUCCCCUUCAAAAGAAGGGAAAUCUCGCCGGGGUCUGCGUGACCUGUAGGUAGGUGGUCCUUCUCCUGUCCAAUCUUGGUUGCUGGCCGGAGCAGGGUGUUGGGGCAUUCGAACAUGCUGGGAGGAACUUGCUUCACCCGCCAAGGUUUGCAGGGUUUGUUUAAUAGAGAUUUGUUGAUUUGCCAUUUCCUUCAUCAUGGCUUUCAGCUGGGCUAGGUCAUCUGACUGAGCGUGCAACUUGACUUCUAUUCCAUUGACUCUUUGAUUAGCAGCUUCCAAAGAAUCAUCCAUUCUUCUUACAUCUUGGGAUCUAGUUUCUGGUGCCAUUUGUUGAAUCCAAAGAUGAUGGCUCUGAUACCAAUUUGCUGCAGGUUAACUGGAAGCCUUGAAUUAAGCAAGGGAAGAACGAAGGGGAAAGAGGUUUGAGAAGGGAGAAGAAGGUUAUCACGUCCAGAACGUGUUUGAGAGAAAGAGAGAACAGGGAAUAGAGUUUGAGAAUUCUGUUGUAAAAUUUCCACACCUUUCUGUUGCAAUGAUUAGGGAAUUUAAAGACAAUAUUGUAAAUGCCAGCGUGGCAUCACUACGUGGCUGUACCAGCUGGCCUACUAGAAUAUAAAAUGAAGCUGCACAAAAACGCAGCCGUUUGGUUCCAUUUAUUUAAAAAUCAAAAUCCUGUUUCACUUUCCCCUUUGCUCGUUUGUGCCUUCUUUCCUUCUGUUCGUGACAAUCUCAAUGGAAACAAGGACUUCAAUGAGGCAGAACUUCUUGCCAUACAAAAGCCCUCCAACUUUUUGCUGGAUUCCAUGGAGAAAAAGCUGAAACUGUUUUUAAUACAUAAUGGAUUUGCUUCAAGACUUCACGCAAAGCAACUACAAGUUCUCCGCACUACUCUUAUAUUGCAGAUUGUUCUUUUGUUUAGACUGUGUAUGGAUUUCAUUUUUACCUUGAGCUUCUGCUCUGCUCAUUUUCUAUUUUUCCUGAUCAAUCAGAAGUUUCUCUAUGGAUCUGGAACUAUAUACUGUUCCUAACUUAAUAAACUUGUACAAGAUCAUUAAAAAAAAGGGAGGGAGCAAGUACUUCCAAGACUAACCAAGACAAUGAACAUGCAUGCUUGUUGAUAAAGAAUAAUAUAAAAUUAAAAUUAUAUCUCAGAAUCUCGUUUAAAAACUUCCUUUAUUUUUUAACAUGAUAACAAAGUCCAAGUCUUGUUGACCAAAAUUAAAAUAGUAGCAGUAACUAAUCCAUCAGGAAUUCAAAUCUCACAAUUGUAAUCUCAUUGUUUUACCCUCACCUAAAGUGACUAGAUGAUAACAUGCUCGUUUGCUUGAGAUGGUAGCAGAUAAAAUGCUCGUUCGCUUCGUGAAUUAUUCCCAAAAGUUUCAAACUUGUAAAAUCUUCAACUUCUAACCGAAAUUUCUCUAAUAUGAAUAAUCCGGGUGGCAUGUCCGGAGAGCAAAACUAAUAUGAUUUUUUAAAAUCAAGCUCCUGUCAAAUGGCAGGGCUCUACUUUUGUUGCCAUGAAAGCAUACAAGAAGCUAGUUAUGGAAUCUGAUGGGAAGAAGAAAAUCAAACAACACUUGAAGAUUGUGUUUAAGUAUGGUAAAUGGAGAGAUGAUGAUGGAAUACUGAUCUACUGGCAGAGACUUGUAUAAUUGUUCUCAAAGAACGAUCAAUUGAAGAGUUGCAUUGCAGUAUAUGACAUUUUUUAAGGCACGAGUGGUACAAUUGUGGAGGAAUUUUGUGUCUCUAUGGGACUACUAAUUUCUCAGGCUAGCUAUAACCCAUGGAAAGGAAAGAUUUUCUCAUUUAUUGAUUAAUCUAAGCUCUGCAUGAUCAAUGGUGACAACCUUAUAUGAAAAUCCGAGUUUAUUAGAGAACUGGAUUCCAGCGAGGGAUCAAGUUUUACAAAGAUUUAUGACCGGGUAUUACAGUUUGUAAUGACAUAAAGUAGUGAUAGGAUGGUAAAGAGGGUUUUUGUCUUCACAAAUCUGGAUUUUAGAGAUUCAACGAAGGAAAAAUAGGCAGCAGAAUACAGAGGGGCAUGGAAGAGCUAUAGGAAGAGAGGGUUCAAAACUGUACCUGAGAUUGUUUUUUGGAAUCCUAAGGGUUGCAAACCUAAUCGUAAAGUAAUUGAUAGUCAAGUUGAUCACCACCAUAGAGGGAUAGCAGUGGUUAAAGGGUUUUUUUGUAAAAAAAAAAAACUUAUCAAGUUCUUGAUGGGAGAUGAUCAUUCUACAAAUGCUUACACACAGCAAGAGGAGAAGUUGACAGAGAAGAGCUUGGUUCCAGAGAUGGAUGAGAUUUUAAGCUCUGCAACUAGCCGGGAUGAAUUCAAGAAUCUAAGUGUAAUGGAUUGAUGAUGUGCAAAUGAAUUGAACAAUAUGUUUGUAGUAGCUCAAAAUUUCUCUUCUAUUCAAGUUUAAGUACUGAGCUUUGCACUAAUCUUUUCUCUCCUAGCUUGGCUAAUUAUUUUCUCUAUUUGCUAUACUGAAACUUAGGCAUUUUUUGUCUGGUUUGUAUCAAUUGAAAAGAAUUAACCAAAAGUUUACACUUUCUUAUGAAAUAUAUCACAUAAAGAAAGGACAUUGAGAACGGUGAUGACGGGUCCUGCUAGGGACUACAAAAAUGUGUACUGGAAUGAUACAUGAAUAAUGAUCAACCAGGAGUAAUUUCUGACAAAUUAAUCAAAUAACUACAAAGAAAAACCAAAUUGGAAUCUACAAGAUUUGCCAAGAAAGCUAGUUUUUGAAGCAUUGGAAACCAGAUUUUGAUGUUUUCAGAAAAACUACGCGCAGGAAAACAGUGAGCAGGAACAGUAUCCAAAUGAAAAUUCUCUGGCUACCUACCCAAUUACUCAUUAAAAGCCUUAACUCUCUGAUUCAGCUGGUUUCCAAUGACAUCUGUUCUCAUUUUCUCCGCACAAUAAAUGGCAAGCACUCUCCUCUAACUAUAAGGCUACAAGUGUUUUUUUUUAUGUCACAUUAUCUGUCAUCUUAAUUCUGUCAUUGGAAAACAGAGACACCAUUAAUAGUUGCUUGCAUUUGCAGCAUCGAUCACAUGGAAGUAACUAGGAGGAGCCUGGAAGUAAAUGGAAGGUAUAAUUGCUUGCGUACAAGACUGUCCAGCAAGUAAUUAAAGCCAGACAAUACUUUAAUUUGGUUGGUAGUAAAUUUGGACUUUAUUAUUUGUGAUUUGAACGAUUUGUCCACCACGACAUGGAAUCACUCUUGACUUUUGUUACUCAAAACAUUAAAUUAUAGUGGUAGAAAUAGAGUCAAUAUCUACCAUCGUGUUAUAUAUGGUGGAAGCAAAGGUGAAAUUGCACUCAAGACUCCAAACGAGUGUAAUUUAAUAGAGAAUUAUUUUGAUUUUUUUAUAUUUUUAAUUUAUUUUGAUAUAUUAAUAUAUAAAAUAUUCUUUAAAAAAUAAAAAAUAUAUUAUUCUACUAUAUUUUCAAGCAAAAAAAUAUUAAAAAAUAACAGCUACAUACCACCCUCUCAAACUUUAAUUUUUUAUAUAGGUUCAUCCCCUUUUCUUAAAUUCAAAUUAAAAUAAUAAUAAUAAAGUCAUGGAGAAAGAAAUUUAUGCCAACGACAUGAAAAAUCUAAAUAACCAUUAUUAAAGAGCUCUCUCUCUCUUCCUCUCUUUACAUUCAAGCACCUUAUUUGCUGUUGAGCUUCAUGUGUAUAUACAACUAUUAUAUAUGAAGUACAGGACACUACUCCUAAUUAAUUACUUUCGGUGAGUUUGUUGAUAUAUGGAGAUCAAUAUUUAAUUCAAAAAUUAUAUAUAUAUAUAUAUAUAUAUAUAUAUAUAUAUAUAUAUAUAUAUAUAUUAACCAGAAAAAGAAUACGACAAAAAGAAGAAGAAGAAGAAGAGAUCCUUCCAAGAAAUUUGAAGCUAACCCUAAUCUAAAUUUCUUGGUCAUAUCCAACCCUAAUCCAUAGUCACAGAUACGGGUCCAAAAUGUAGGGUUUUUUUGUAUAAUAAUUUUUGUGGUCAUGGUCUAAAAUUCUACGUCGAAAGUCAGUAAAAAGGAUCAUUUCUAAUGUCCUAUUACAACUAAACAAUGAAUUAAAUAAGCUUGAUUUUGUAGACUCCAAGGAUCAAAGUCUGCUAGAACAAAAAAAGAAAAAUAACCAUAAAAAAAAACAUUUUAAAAAAAUUGUAAAGCAACAAGAAAGUUAAAAAAAGUAAAUAUAUAUAUAUAUAUAUACACACACUCGAAAAGAACUGGAAGUUGCUUAUAUAAUAGUGUAACAGAUAGAGAAAGAGCGUUAACGUGGAGUGUACACUGAAAGCAAAAACCGAAAAGCUUCCUGUCAUUCACACUUCGUCUUCACGCGGUAUCUCUUUUCUCUUUGAAUGAAAAAAAAAGGGGCCAUAUAUUUAUUUCCACAGAAACAGAGAAACCCAAUAAGGGAAAAGCAAAAAAGACACCACCACAAAAUUCUAGAACCAAAGAAACAAAGAACAACGAGAACGGGAGCAUUCGAAGUUGUUAAAGCAGAUGAUGUUGAGAUCGUGGUACAGACCAUUAGAGAGGUGUUUUGGUCGGGUAGCAGGUGGUGGUGGCGGUGAUGGAUUGAUGUGGCAUGCUGAUUUAAAACAACAUGCGUCUGGUGAUUAUUCAAUUGCGGUUGUUCAAGCUAAUUCUAAUUUAGAAGAUCAAAGUCAGGUUCUUACGUCCUCCUCCGCUACUUAUGUUGGUGUUUAUGAUGGUCAUGGCGGUCCUGAAGCUUCCCGAUUUGUCAAUAAACAUUUGUUUCCUUACAUGCAUAGUGAGAAUUCUCUCCUCUCUCUCUCUCUCUCUCUCUCCCCUCUUGUUUAUUUUUUUUUCUUUUGUUUGUUUUGUUUUUUGUCUUAAUUAGUUGUUUUCUUGAUUGUAAUGAUCAUGAUCACGGUGAUUAUCUUAAACCCUGAAUUUAUUUGUGGUUUUGAUGUCUUAAUCUAUUGGUCCUGUGGUUAAGGACUCAAGGUCCAGUCUUUGUGUGUUUGAGUUUGAAUUCCCAAACCCCAUAUCACAAAUUAUAGAAAGGAAAGAGAGUUUUAUUAUUAUUAUUAUUAUUAUUAUUAUUAAUCAUACGUUAUCUAAUUCUUCAUUUUUUACUAUCUUUUCUUUGGUCACCUUUCCCUUGUUCGUGCUAGUGCAAUAGUAUGUAUUAAUAUCUUUUCCAUUUCAAUAGAAUGAAUCUCGAUGUGAGAGGCUGGAGUUUGCUUUUGUGGGUUUAGUUAUGUUAGUGUUAGGGUGACAAGUUGUAGAAAACCUUGAAAGUUUCUAGCUUUAUUGAAUUGGAGCUUUGUUUGUUUGUGUUUUUAUUGUGUUUUUAUUUGUGGGCCGAUUGGAAAAGAAACUAGAUAAUAUGUGAUAAAAAUAAAAAAUUUGGCUGCCUAAGACGUGGACUAAACUGGCCUCUAUGCAACAGACUUCUUCGUAAUUGUGUCAUUCUCUAUCUAAGAUGUUAGUUUUGAUUGCAGAAUUUGCUACAGAGCAUGGGGGGUUAUCAGCUGACGUGAUAAGGAAGGCAUUUAAUGCAACUGAAGAGGAGUUUUGUCAUUUAGUGAAGCGAUCAUUACCAUGGAAGCCACAAAUUGCUUCUGCUGGAUCAUGUUGUUUGGUUGGAGCUAUUUCAAAUGAUGUGUUAUAUGUUGCGAACCUUGGGGACUCCAGGGUAGUUCUUGGCCGAGGAGUUGAUGAGGAUAAGAAAAAAAAGGUAGUGGCAGAAAGGUUAUCAACUGAUCACAAUGUUGCUGUUGAGGAGGUGAGAAAGGAGGUUCAGGCGCUUCAUCCUGAUGAUUCACAUAUUGUAGUCUAUACUCGUGGAGUUUGGAGGAUUAAGGGCAUUAUACAGGUAAAAUGGCUUCUUGUUGCUGAGCAGCUGGUCUUCUUGUUCCUGUUUUUGCUUGUUAGUUAUGAGAAUUCGGCUGAUUGGGUAUUGUUUGUUUGUGGCAUUAUACAUUCAUUCAUUUAGGUGCCAAAUAUGUUUCUUCAUCCUCUUGAUUGUCUUUCAAUGUCUUGCCAGGUUUAUUUUGAGUUACUUGGAUAACCUCUGUCUUAAAAACACUAUUUUGUAGUGUGUUUGACAUAAAGUAAUUGGUCUGAAGAUGGAUCAAUUCUGAAGGCAUCCAAUUUUAUGUUCGGUUCUCUUAUCUUUAUCUUUUGCUUUAUGAUAGGCAUCUGUCUAUGAUGGAAACACUAUAGUUAAAGUUGGCCUAGGGGUUACAUUCAUACCCUUCCGGGAAUCUUAUGCUCUGCCUCCUGGUCUACCAUUUCAUGCAAUCAAGUGAAGCAGUAUGUCUUCUGAUGCAUGAGAGGUAAAUGAAAACCCCUGAGGCCUAACAAGAAUGCUUAUGUAAUUACCGGAAGUCUUGAUCCUUUUUUUUUCCUUCUAUUUAACUUAUCCGGAGACUAGAAACAUCAUAGUGUGAUGUUCUGGUUGAUGAACUGAACCAUUGUGUUCAUUUGUUACUUGACUCCCUGAAGUUUUGGAGCUGAUUUACUAUCUUAGGCAUGUCGUAGAAGGUGGAAUAAACCUUCCCUGUUUCCUUUUUCCCUUUUCAGGUAUCUAGAUCCAUUGGUGAUGUGUAUCUGAAGAAACCAGAGAUUAACAGGGACCCAAUUUUUCAGCAGUUUGGGAACCCUAUUCCUUUGAAACGGCCAGUAAUGAAUCCAGAACCUUCCAUUCUCAAUAGAAAGUUGAGGCCAGAAGACUUGUUCCUGAUCUUUGCUUCAGAUGGUCUUUGGGAACAAUUGACCGAUGAAGCAGCUGUAGAGAUUGUUUUCAAAAACCCAAGAGCUGUAAGUUCCUGUCUUUGACUUAGAUGUUUCAUUUACUUUUUCUUGCAACUCUUAUUGAUAUUUAAAUCCCGGACCUAAUUUAUACUCUGAGGUUAGGCAAGUUAGGUUUUGAUGGGAUCCUUGGGAAUGAAAAUUGAAUUUCUUUUUCAUAAAACAAGCUUCAUCGAACCCAUGAGAAUGCAGAAUUCAGUUUCAUCUACUCGUAGCAUCUAAACGCACCGUAUUUCUGCUGAACAUGGACAUUGUUUUGGAAAUAGGAUAUUCCUGACAUCUGAACCUUUAAGCAAAUGUUUUGGCAAACAAACUAGAUGUCAUAGAUGUUCAAUUGUCUGGAGUUAUUUGUGCCUGUCCAAAUUUUGUUGCUUGCUUGACAAUUCUCUGGGCUGUUUUGACACCUGCAGGGGAUUGCUAAGAGAUUGGUGAGAGCUGCUAUUCAGGAGGCUGCAAAGAAAAGAGAGAUGAGAUACGAUGACAUAAAGAAAAUAAAAAAGGGAACGCGGCGGCAUUUUCAUGAUGAUAUCACUGUGAUUGUAAUUUAUCUUCAUCACCAAAAAGGUUCCUCCAAUGGUGGACUAAAGAAUAAUGUUGUUGGCUGCACCAGUGCUCCAGUCGACAUUUUCUCCCUUAAUGCAGAUCAAGCAGAGGUGGACUUGCUUCAAACAAUUUCUUGAACAAGGAAAAACCCUUUGAAGGGGUAAACACUGACUUCUUGAUUUCAAGGUAUAUUAAAGGAGAAUACAUUUAUGUAGAUGAAGUUAUAGCGGGUUCUGGUGUUAGCCUUUUCCAAGUAAAUAUAUAACUAUACUUGUUUCAUUCUAUCAAUGACUGGUUAAUUUUUCAGAAAUUGUAGCACCAAUUUUGUGCCUCUUUUGUAAUCCAAAUUUUAGAAAUUACAGGUCAUCAUUGAUUAUUUUUGGGCUUGUAAAAUCUGACAGUUCCGGUAGCCAAUGGUCCAAGGGCAUUUUUACGGUAUAAAUUGCACUGCACUUGCCUUAUUAAAAGCCUCUGACUUCAAGCACUGGCCAUUCUUGAACCAUUGCACAUUAGCAGCACGUGAGGUGAGUUAAGAAGUCAUCACAUGAGCCUCCCUGCCCUGCGCACAGCAUAUAUUUGUCAGUUGCUUCUACCUUCGUAGCUCAAACCUAAAUGAUGCACAACUUUCACACGAGGAAAGAACUUCGAAGUCCUCCAUAAUAGGAAGAAAAAACUACUUCUAUGUUAAAAAUUGCCGAAUUUGAGUUGAAUUGAAGUAACAAAAACAAGCACACCCGUGAUUGUAUAGCAAUACGCAAACGCAGACACGAGCCACCCCUGCAUCCAUGUAGUUGGCUAUGCGUAAGAAAGGGGAUUGUGAGGACUCACUCAAGCAUGGCUCCUUGCAACAAUCAAAAAGAUCGGAUUGGCCUUAGCUUCAGGCUUUAGGUCCCCAUUGAUGAUUAAUGAGAGGAUAUGAUGAUGACAAAAAUGUAAUAUACAUGGAUGAUAUUAAGAUAAAAUAACAUAAAAAGUUUUUUUUUUUUAAAAAAAAAAAGAAUAGAAGGAUAUAGGAAAGCUUUAACCCUUGCGAGACCAUGAUGCAUCCAUCGUUAUUUUUGCUUUGCCCAACUUUGCAUCCUUAAAAAACUCAAGAUUGGGAGGAUUUGAGGUUCUUGAAAAAAAAAAAAAUUAAAAAAACUCCUUGUACUGUAGAGAAACAGUGAUGGCGGCUGAAUUGCUUGGUGGAGCUGAUGUUGGAGCAGUGUUUGGUGAGCUGCUAGAAGCAGUCUUGAAUGAGAUAAACAAAGCCGCGUUCAAGACGAGACUGAGGCAAAUAGAAAAAACUCUACAAUCCAACAGUCCAAUUUUACAAGACAUGGAAAAGUUGAAUCAAGCAUUAAAUCGUAGAAAUGAGGAGACAGAAACAAUAAUAGAAGUAAUCAGGAAAGGCAAGACGCUCGUUGUUGUAUGCUCAAAAACCCGUAGGUAUAAUUGUUGGAGAAGGCAGAAAUACACAGACAAGCUCGUCAAGUUAGAAGAAUCCAGUGCACAAGUUAUUCUUUCAAACUGUUAUGCCAAAGCAAACAGUAAGGGACAGUCAAGAAAUUCUGUUGGAGCUAAGAGGCCAACAGCUCAAGUUCAAAAGGAAAAUUGAUGGACUUGUUGUCUCAUGUACAAUCUCUGGUGAAUGCUGUUGGAUUACAGGUGGCUUUAGGAGAAUUGAAGAUGGAGCUGUUUAAGGAUGGGAUGUCCAUUGCGGUGCUAUCUGCUCCUCCAGGCUGCAGAAAAACAACAUCGGCAAAACUACUUUGUCAUGUGUCAUGUGAAUGCUUUCCUUGUUAUGUAAUAAUCUCUACUAGUUCUUAGUAGCAACUCUCUCGUAUAGUUUUCGGUCUUUGAACAGGAAAAUUCAAGGAUAACAUCUUUUAUAUCACUGUGUCGGGAAAAAAAGAAGGCAUUAUUUAAUUACAAAAGAAAUAUUGUUUUAAUAAUUUUUUUAAGAAAAAUAUUUAAAAAACAAUAUCAAUCAUCGUAUGCAAAAAAAAAUCCCAAGAACCUGACAGCUUCAAAGCAUGAGCCAUGAUUACAGUAUCGAGUUAUUGAAAUAUAUGUAACCUGGUCGGAUGAGCAAAGGCGCAAAAUUAGGAGAAGCCAUAAUGAUAAAGGUAUUAAAUUAAUAUAAAUGAGUCAAUUAGACCUCCUAAGGCAUAACGUGGGUUCGCCCUAGGCCUCAAUUAGUAUCUUCAAUUUUGAUUCAAACCUCCUUUUUAUAACAAAAAUAAAUUUAAUUUAAAAGAUAUACAUAGUAAAAUGUGAAAUGUGUGUUUUGUGAGGUAUUACUGUUCAAUCGUAUUUUAAAAAAAAAUAAUUUUAAAUUAUUUUUGUAUAUUUUUAUAUUGUAAAGUAAAAUAGAAAAUUAUGCAGAUAAAUAGAAGGAUGAGAAAAAGAGAGAAAAAGAAUAUCAAUGAUGAUAUAAUAAUAUUAAAAAUAUAUUUAAAAAUUAUUAUUUUAAUAUAUUUCUAAAUUUAAAACAAUUUUUAAAAAACCCACUUUUAAAUAUAUAAAAUUAAUUAGAAAAUGCAAGGAGAAAUUAGACCAGGUGAGCUCAGAAAGCCCAUUUGUUACCGGGCUCAAGAGUGAAGACUUUCGAAACGAGCAUGGGAUUGGUGACCAAAACAAAGCCUAAAAAAACUCACUAUCACAGAGAAAUUGAACCCGUUGAGGUUGAGCUCAUAAACUUGAAAUUUCUUUUCUUGUUCUUAGAACAAGACUUGAAAUUUCAGAAACAGGACACUCAAGACAAAUGGGAAUCAGUGGAGACCCUCGAACAUUCAGGCAGGUUGUAGUGCAAAAUUAAGGAAGAAGGAAUGAGUGCUAGUAGUUUGGUUGCAGAUACAGUUUGGAAAACCAUUGAAUCAACCCAAUCAGGUCCUCUCUUUCUAUAUCUCAUGCUUUUUAAUAUUUAGUUAUUAAAGUCUUUUAAACCCACCUUCUAUUAAAUGACGCUUAGUGUCUUUUUUUUUCCUUCCGUGGCUAAUGUAAAUGGUGGCAGUGACUGAGGAGCAGCUUUCAAUGUGAGAAGCAUAUAAAAUAGUCACUUUCCAAUUUCCUAGCUUGCUUUUGAUCAAGUUAGUAUUGAUUUGUAAAAGGGUGUAAAUGGGUUGAUUGAUUUUGGGCCUUUUCUUUGUGUGUGUUGUUUGGGUUAAAUGUAGCUUGCAUUUCUUGUUUGGUAAGAAUCUUGAGAGGGCAACAAAGAUAGUGGAUCAGAGAGGUGUCAAAAAGAUCUCUGGUCAGCCCAGCGGUCGUUCCAUCUUUCAGGUUCAAUUCUAUUCUUUGCUAUGCAUUGUACUUUAGACUUCAAAUUUUUGCACAUGGUUGUUCGAGUUUGGAUCUAGGGCCUAAUUCGGGUUUUAAAAUGCAAAUAAAAUUGGUUUAGGUUGAAUUGUUUUGUGAUAAAAUGGCGGGGCGAUAAGCUAGGAACUUCAGUUUAAAUGGAAUAUCUGAUGAGUUUGACUGUUUUGGUGUAAAUUUAUAAAGAGGAAUGUUUGAGCAAUUUAGUUUGGAUUAGCUUACUAAAGAAAGGUUUGAGGAUUAAAAGAGUGCAGUUAAGGUUCUCCCUAUUUGAGAAUAGCUGUAAAAUUUUAGGAUCAAUCAUUUAAGAACUGAUUUGGCAAAUGGGUUUGAGGUGAAAUUGGAUUAUGGUGAAGAAACUUGGUAGUUAGCACUGUGAACAAAUUGUUAAAUAUGUUUCAUUUAAAAAGAUAGAAGUAAAGAUUAAGAUUUGAUCAUUUAAGAACUCAUUUGGUAAAAUAAUUUCUUGUUUGCUGGUGUUGGUAGGUGGUGGGAGAAUCAAGGAGGAAGGAGGAGUAUUUCUGUUUUCCUGAACACUAUUGUGCCUGUUAUUCAUUUUUUUAUGACAUUGUCAACAGAGGAGAACAACUUUGUGUAAGAGCUCUUUUUUUUUUUCCUUAUUUAUCAUUUCAGUUUGUUGAAACCACUUUUCUAUAAUGUUUUAUGAUUAACUCUUUCAUUUCUUGAAUCCAUUUCAGUGUAAGCAUCAAUUAGCUGCAAGACUUGCAGCAGCAUUAGGAGCGUUCAUUGAUGUUAAAGUGUCUGAUGAGCAACUGGCUCUCUUACUCAUCAAACUAUAACAUGUGGAGAUGGAAGGGAUCUGACUUUAAAAAAGAAGAGGUAUGGUCCAAGAGAAUCGUAGCAAAAGUUUUUAUUAAUUUCGUAGGCUUCUGACUUUGGAAGCAACUACCAGCAAUGAAAUUCUACAACCACUUCCAGGAGAUGAAAUAAUACAUCACUAAUUCGGUUGAGCUUUGCAACUUACUGUACCUCAAAAUCUUUCAGAAUUCCAUAAUCAGGUCUACUUCUCAACAAGCGAUGCAAUAUUAGCUUUGAUCCUUUACUGAUGCAACGAUGGCCAUACUCGGAACUCUGGCUCUGGUGCUGCAAACGAUUAUGAACAUUUCAGUCAAGAUCAAACAGGCUUUAGUAUAAUUUAGAUUUAGGAGACUCUGGCACCACAUUUCAUUUCAUUUUGAUCUUGAUUUAUAGAAAGUGCCAUUCCCCGUUGGCAUUCAUGGAUUACAUUAAAUUUUUGUCAUUCUUGUGUUGUCAUUGUAAACUCAAGAAUCUAACUUGUUUCCACGGUUUGAUCUUUUGGUAAUAUUUGCACCUUGACUUGAAAUGAUGCUUAAAAUAUCUUAAAUGUUGCAUGCAUGCUAUCAGGUGCAAUCCUAAAAAGGACAACCAUUGAACUUGCACGAUGUUUAUGCCCCACCAAUGUUGUUUUAUACUCUGUAGUUGUUGUUCCAUUGCAUAUAAUAGAUCUUCACAUCUUUAGUCAUGUUGAGUUUCUUUUUCUUUCAUUUUCAUUAGAUUAGAUGUUCAUGAAAAAUGCAAUGCACAGUGAAUCAUCAAUGCUAUUAAUGAACGGAUCAUUUUUACAUGUUAAGCAAAUAAUGUCUAGCCCCACUUUGAAAAUUGUCUCAAAAGCAUCACUAAUCAGAGACGAUUUGAAUCACUGAUGUUAUCCAUGAACAGUUCAAUGUUACAUGUUCAGCAGAUGUGUAAACGCCACAUUUGAAAUUGUCCCAAAUGCAUGCUAAUGCCAGUUGAUUUGAAUUGUGUUAGUGAUCUGUUGUCUCGGUAGUUCAAUGUUAUGUUCUCCAAUUAUGUAACCCAAAGAGCUAUUUCAACAUUUCAGCCUUCCUGUGGCGUGCGAAGUAAACGAUGGGGUUUGUUGGGAAUGGAAUGGGCCAGGUCUAGACUCUAGCCUGGUAUCGGGGUACAAAACUGCUGACCGAGAAGAAUCUACUUGGUCGUUGUUUCCGGCACCCCCACAAUAGAAAAAUAACUGGUUACAAGCUUGCAAAACAUUAUGAAAAUGUCGUCUUCUCAUCACGUUCUCAAAAACUGGUGUAACCUGGAAGGCUUACAAAAUGUUGGGAUGAACAUCCUUUGAGGAUUUCUGAAAAUGCUUGGCAAAGGCUCUAAAUCCCUUUUGUUUUGUUAAUCAUGUCCCAUUGAACUGCAUCUCCCUUGUCUCAUGUUGCUCUUGCUUUGCCUGUAUUUUGAUGGCUAAAGUGCCAAGUAACACACUGCUCGCUCAUCAGUAUGUCAAUUAAUACAACAACAACAAGGAUUAAAGUUGCGACAGCAGCUAAAAAUAACCACCAACUGGGAUCUGUUUCAGGAAACUAGAUCUCGUAAAUGAACUAGUGUUACUGGAAACAUCAAUGGAAGCCCCUCAUACUUGCUUAUCGUGGCGUAAGCACUCAGAGUCCUCGCCAUAUUCAACAAACAAGCCGGCGAAAACCCAAAUAUAGCUCCAGGCCUAUGAACAGACCAUUUCAAACCCCCCUUCCUCUGAACCUUAUUAAACAAAACAUCCUCUGAUAAAAACUCAAUGAAUUUAGCCUUGGAAGAUCCUCAUGUAAUGGAGGGUCAUGAGAGCUGAACCUUAAACAAGACUCAAAAGAACCCAAAUAAUGCUUGCGUCCUGUUUGCAAGCAAAUGUGCUGCAAGUUUGGAGUGUUUGGGAUUACAGCUUUAAGCACGUUAUGUAAAAUGGUGCUGUUAAAAAUGCAGUUUUCAGCUUCUGUAGACUUGCUAGCCCAGGAAACGUAAAAGAUGUGGGUUACAUCUGUGAGUUUUGAGAGCUUUUCAAUGGGUUUAUGCAUCGUUCAAGACAUCACAUCGGAUUUGGAGGUAUUUAAUUUGGUGAUCGGAUUGCCAGAUUGGCCGUGGACGGCGUGCAACUCUGUAAACUUUCCAGGGACCACCCGGGGUGUCUGCAAGAGGGAGGAUCCCGGCCAAGCUGCUGCUUACAAUGCCUGUGGCACCUAUUAUGAGGGCCACGCUUUGGUACUUUGGUGGUGCAUCACCAUCCUCUUAAGGUUUUUUCCGUUUUAUUUGAUCAAAUAAAAAUUAUUAGCUCGCCUAUAAUUACAUAACAGGAAAUGGAAUAUGAAGAGGAAUAAAUUGAGUUUUUUUAUAAAAAAAAAUGCCUUUGCAGCACCUAUGGCUCCUGCCCACCACCACCUCAUUGUGAUUGUGUUUUCUGAUUUUGCAAAUCAGAGAGAAGGAUGGAGAGAAGUGCUUGCAAGAAGAGGGAGAUUACAGAGUUGAAGAUGAGUAAUUACGUCGUGGAAAUGUGUAAAUGGACCUAAAAAUUCAGUUUAUUUAUUGAAACACCUUGUUUAUAUCAUGGUGCUUCUAUCCUUGUUAUUGGGGUUUUGGUAAUUAGGCAUUUUGUUUACCUUGUACGCUUUAUUAGUUCAUUGUCACAUUGAAAGUUAAACCAUAGAAAAGAGGGAGUUCUGACAACUGUUUCUGGUGUUUGGAGCAUAAAUCAUCAUUGUCAGCCUAACGUGAUCCCUACUUAAAGAGGGUUCUUAUAAUAACUAAACCAUGAAGUUGGAACUAAUACUAUCAUGGCUUGUCUGGACUCAUACUUGAUGAAAUCGACAGCCACAUCAGAUUAUUGCAUCUCUGAAGAAGAUAGGAGCUAAUUUGAGUUGCGAAGGACGCCAUUCAUAUGUGCAGGCAGCGGAAUUGUGGAUGGAUUAGCAUUUGUGUUAAAACUUUUUAGCAAAAUGAGUGAAAUUCAUUACUUGAUUAAAAAUAAUGUAUUUUAUGCUAUUUCUAUCCAACUCUGAAUGACAAGUUAGUAUCAGACCCAGGGAGCUGUCAUCCGACUAUUGUAAUGACCGGUUUUAACUUGGAAUUUUUAGCGUGCAAUCCUGUUAACUCUGAGGUCUAAUGCUAAAUCAUGUCACCAAGGAAGACAGAGACUCUGUUUCUAUGAGCUAAUUACUUUUCUCUAGUGGAUAACCAAGGCAAAAUAUAAUACCUCUAGAUUAGGACCCAGGCCAGCUUGGAAGUUUGAAGUUCAAAAUCCUUUGCUUUAGCAGAGAAAAUCACAGUAAGAAAUGAAAUAUGGUUUUGGCAAUAUUUUAAGCCAGCCAUUAAGCAAGUUGUUUGAAGUAGACAUGAAACCUACGAUGUUGUUCCUAGUAAGGAUGAAUUUUAAGGACUUGUCAUUGAUAAUACAUCAAAUAAAUUACAGGAUGGUGACAAAUGCAUGCAGGAUUGUUUGCUAAUGUACUGAGAUGUGAUUGAAAAUAUGAUUUGUCCUGAUCACAAUUUUAAAAAUGUUUAAUUACUCGAUAUAUAUCAUAGUUUUGCAUAAAUUUCACUAUAAACUCUCUUUUAAAACCUUGGUCAUGCUUGAAGCUACUUUUUCAAACCUUAAUCGUAAAAACUACCACAACAAAACGAGCCAAACACACAAGAAGUUCAACCGGGAAUACAAGGAUGAUGAUAGACAAUUACUCCUAUAUAAGUUUCUCCUCAUUAACAACGUUUCUGUUUUUCAUAAUCAUUCUUGAUGAUAGAACAGUCCAGUGGACCGCUGAAACACACUGUUGGCUUUCAUGUUUCUGGUUUCGAGUAUAACUGAGCUUCACAAAACUAACAAAUGGAGUUCAAAAGCCACAUUAUCGUGAUCUUUAGGGCAUAGCUAUUCAUUAACUCGGCAUUUAUAUAUAGCUUUUUACUUUUUGUUACACCUACAAUAUAUACAUUGUACACACCUUUAGCAACUUUCAGUAUAUAUCGCCAGAAGCCAGAACUUUAUGUAAGAUCACGUAUCAUCAGCUAAGAAAUGGCCAAUUAGCAACUCUCCUGGACAAACCAUUCAUUCAUCCUUCUUUCUUUACCACAUAGUUCGAAGCUCAAGAACCUAACAACAAUACAUGAAAAAUCACAUCUUAGCAAUGAAAAUUAAAGGCCACCUUUCCAAUGACAGUAAAAUUUUGUCAAAAUAAAUAACUCCUUCAUACUCAGGAAAAGGUUAAGAUAGGGUGAGGCCAGGAAAUGCUUUGGCAAGAGAUUCAAAACUAAGUUCAACUAACAAAACAAUACUUUUAAUCUAUAUGGCCCAUAAGAACAAAAUGAGGAUAUCCAUCCCAAUUCCAUAGUUACAGAGAAACAAUUUUCUUCUCAAGUAAAUAUAAUAAAAAUGCCAUCUUUUACAUUAAGAGAAUCAAAUUAUUAAUCACAAUGAUGACACGUUGCAGAGAAAAUUUUCAAAAUUUUGAUUCUCAUAACCACCAAAUGCUAAUGGUACAAAAUGAUUCACAUUUGAUAGAGGUACUCAUACCUUGAAGUCAAUAACUCCCCUUUCCCCUUCUUUUCAUGUCUUGUCUGGAUCCAAGCACUGCCCUCCAAAUAGAUGUGUUCCUGAGUGCUUGCAUCUCUUCAGCCUCUAGGAAACAUUAGGAAGCUUUUGCUGGAUCAUCCAUAUCAACCACAUCUUCAUGCCUAAUCAAAACAUGAGACGGAUAAGAAAGGGAUUGCCUAUGACCAUUUGGUUAAACGUUCUAAUAACCUGCACUCGUCCUCCCUGGAAAUGUGUGGAUCAAGCUCAUGAAGGCUGCUUAUGAACUUGAUUGCAUCAUCCCGGCGAUUAAGUUUACAGUAUCCAUCAAUGACUGAGUUGUAUGUAUUCUGGUUCGGUUUACAUCCAUGCUUGAUCAUGUAGCAAACAACAUCAAUAGCCUCCUCAAACAUUGAAUCAGCUGCAUAACUUGCAACAAAAGUAUUAUAUGUGAUUACAUCUGGAAUAAGCCCAGAUUCUCUCAUUUCUGAGAAUAUAUGUGAAGCCUCUUUCAUCCGCCCAUUUCGGCAAUACGCAAAAAUUACGGUGUUGUAUGAAAUUAUAUCUGGUUUUAUUCCCUUUGCAAGGAUUUCUUUUAAAACUUCUUCUGACCUCUCAAAGUUCUCUGAUUGGCUGUGCAUAUACAUCAAACUAUUGUAAGUUGCCAAGCUAGGAGUGAACCCACUCUCUUUCAUGAAGUUCAAGAUCUCAUUUGUUUUGGUUACCAUCUGCCUCCUGCCGUAAAUAGCAAUCAUGGCAUUCAGAGUACUCAAGUCAGGUGAAAAGCCUUUUCUCUUCAACUCCAGGAAUGCACGCUCAGCUUCUAAUAGGAGGUCACAUUUACUAUUAACUAAAACAAGGGUCUUCAAGAGCACAGCAUGAGGUUCAAUUACACCAGAGCAUAUCUCCUCCGCAAGAGCAAGCAUCCGUCCAAUCUCCUUGCCAUUGGCAUAAGCAUGAAGCAAAGAACAGUGUGUCAGUUCAUUGGGCUUGCACAUACCAUCUUGCAUUUCAGCAAGUAUUUUCUCUGACUGUUCCCAUAGCCCUCCUCGAGCUAAUGCUGCCAAAACAGCAUUAUAGGUGGAAAGAUCAGGUGUGAUCCCAGUAUCCAGCAUUCUCUUGUACAUAGCCAUGGCUUGGUCAAAUGAACCACACCGACUGUACGCACUGAUUAGGGUGUUGUAGGUAUCCCUCUCCGGUACAAAGCCAACCCUCUUCAUCUCCUUGAAAACUCCAGACACUUCUGAGUCCAUCCCAUUUUGCCCAAACACUGCUAGAAGGGUAUUCCAAGUAACAAUAUCAGGUACACAGCAGCAAAUUUUGAUCUCCUCAAAAACCUUCAUCAUUUCUGCAAACUUUCCCCUGUUACCAUGCAUCUUAAUCAAGGCAUUGAAAGUACAAAUAUUAGGUUUGCAACCUGCAGUUCUCAUUUCCUCAAAAACCCUCAUUGCAGACUCAUCCUUACCAGUCCUCACAAAUCCUGACAACAUUGCAGUGUAAGUAAAAACAUCCAGUUUAAUCCCUCUUUCAACCAUCUGGUUUUUAAGCUCCAUUGCUUCUUCCAACAGACCAUCCCUUGCAUAAGCAGAUAUCAACGAAUUAUAUGUCACAAUGCUUGGUGAACAUCCAUUGACCUCCAUUUCUCUUAAUACCUCGAUCGCCUCCUUAAUCCGCCUAGACUUCCCAUAAACAUCCAAUAAAGUAUUAUAAGUGACCUUAUCAGGCACAAACCCCAUCGAUUUCAUAUCCUCAAAAACCGCAGCAGCUUCUUCAUACAAAGAUCCUCGUCUACAACAGGUUAUCAGCGUAUUAUAUGUAUACUCAUCCGGCAAAAUCCCAGCAUUCUUCAUUCCCUCAAACAGACCUGUAAUCUUGUUCCAAGGCAUACCCAUUUUUCCAUACACAUUCAGAAUCACAUUAUAAGUAAUCAAAGUUGGUUUGCACCCUUCUUCCUCCAUCUUCUUAAAAACCAUCACAGCUUCCCUAUACCUCCCAUUACUAACACAAGCAGUUAUUAAAGAUGUAUACGCAUAAACAUCAGGUUCAAACCCAUCUUUAUGCAAAUUAUUCAACAAAGAUGCUGCCACCGAAACUUUUCCUUCUUUACCAAGCAUAUUAAUAAUCACAGCCACAGCUGAAUUACUCAAGACAGAUUCAUAACCAUUCCUAUUCUUAAACCACUCAAACACACUCAUAGCCAGGUCACUUUUUUUAUAAAACCCUAAACCCUUAAUAAUACCCAAAACAUCAUUACUUAACCUCUCCUUACCACCACUACAUACACUCAACUCUUCUUUAUAGUAAUCAAAUAAAAGACUCAAGAUUUUAUCUAAUUCACUGGUUUCGAAAGAAGGGUCAUUUAAAGAAUCUAGAACUCGCUGACCUUGAAGGGAGAGACGACGGUGGGUCCAGGGUUUGCCACGGUUAGGGUCACAGGCCUUGCCAAUUCGGGUUCGGUUUCUUGGGAUAGGAAAUAGAUCAGGUUGGGUUUGCGGGUUGAUGGGUUUGGAAAGAUUGGGGCUUUGCUUGAAAAGGAAGUCCUGCAUAGGUGGGGUGCCAUGUUGUGGUGGUGGUGAAGUGGGUGUUGUUAGUUUUAGCUGUUGUUGAUGGAGGUGAGAUUGGAGAGGCAGUAAGAGUUUUGUUGGAGGUGGGUUUGUGAGGAGAAGAGGGAGAGCUAGUUUCUCUGUCAUUUUUUAGAGUGAGAGGUUUUAGGAGGGCUUUGGGCGGGUUUAAGGAUUAUAAGUUGGUUUCUUUAGUUGAGUUUGUGUGGUGUUUUGACUUAAGAAAGGAGAGAUUUUUCUGUGUGGUGUUUCAAGUUGAGAUUCUUAGAGAGGGGAUGUUUGAGAGGGGAGGAGGGUUUCAAUCCUACGUGGUGAGUGAGUAGUGGAGAUUGCCAUGGUAGCAGACAAGAAUCUCUGGCGAACAGAUAGAGCUUGCCAUGUCAGCAAAAGGUGACUCUCUGCUUCGGAGGAGAGAAGAAAUUGACAAACUAGAACUAAACAUUAUGAUUGAAAUUUUUCUAAGGAGUUGAAAGAGGAAUUGUUGCGGAUUAAAAAAAUAUGAGUUUGUUUAAGAUUGAUUUGAUGAAUUUUUUCAUGUAAAAUAAAUAAAUAAAUAAAUUUAUAUAAAUAAAAAUAUAUUAUUUUAAUUUAAACAAAAUUAAUAUUUAAAAUACAAUUAUAUAUAGAAUCCAUAUAAAAAACAAAAAUUAUUUGAGUAACUAAAUUAAAGCUACCAUAACAUCAAACUCUCUACGGGAAUUUCGAGUUAAAAAGUCUCUCUCCAAUCUUGCGGAGUUCAAAAGCUAAUGCCGUACAUGUGGUGAUAUGGAAUUAGCUGAUCUAAUUUGUGUUUCCCGUUGCAGGAAUGACUGUGUAAAGAUUCCAUAGAAAAUUAGGAGACCCAGAAGCGAGGAUUAGAUUAGAACUGUGUUCCACUCUUUCUUGUUUCUGCAACCAAAUAUUCUUCAAUAAAGUUCCCUUUUCUGCAAUUACUAGUUUUUGCCCUCACGCACUCCCAUUCUUGGGGAGUUCUGUGCAAGAACUCGUUAUGAGUCCAACUCCAGAGACGCUCAAUUGCCAACAAUCAUUUCAACAACUCUAUUUCGUAAUUAAGGUAGGUAAGUGCAGGCAAGGGGCGGCUUAAUACGACUGCUGCCAUGAUCAUUUGAGAUAAGUUUUUCAGUUAGAUCAAAACUAUCUAAAAUCAUACCAAGAGCCUGUUUUAUGCAGCAUGUACCCAAUAUGAAAAUAUUGCCAGAACCACAACUACAUACAAGAUUCAAUCAAAAUUUGAGAUUCAUCAACAGAAGCAUAAACUGGCAGAAAGUUAUAAUAUCAUCUUGAAAAUCGUACUAUGUAAGGAAUCCAUAAGCAAAAUUCUUAACAAAGCUAGUUCUGCAUGUAAGUACUGCUAAUUAAGACUAAAAACACAAGCCGCCGAAAGCACCAGGCAUAAUUUUGACUAUUAUCGUCAACAAAAAAGAUAGCCCUGCCACGGGAAAGAUGACCACGAAGACUGGAUCCAUAAUCUUGAACUUCAUUUGAGGAAAUGAGGACUAAUCAACCCAGCAAUCUCAAGAAAUCCAACCUGGUCUCUACCAGCAAAUAUCUUCUUCAACUUCUCGUCACAAAUUAUGUUCUUCUUGUUACUAGGGUCCUAAAAAAACGCAGCAAGUCCAGUCAGCUCCAAAUUAAUGAGAUAACCAUAUAUGCGUACACCAUGGAUGUUCUAUGCAAUGGCUCAGAAACAGCUAGAAAAACAAACACCAGAUUCAUGCAAAAAUGACGAACUAGAGGAGCAAUAAUACUGCAGUUCAAGAAAAGAGUUAGCACCAAAUUAGUAAAUACACCACUCAACAAAUAAAGGGAAGUGACCGCACCAGCAGAUGGACUAACAAAUGUUCUAAAGGGUGAAGUAAAACGGUAAUUAAGUGAACAUUGUAUCCAUUACUCAAACACCAAUCAUGCUUUUUGUUUCAACCAAAUUAUUCAGCUGGAAGCUAACCCUAAUAGUGAAGGACGAUAGCUGCUUGGAAAUGACAAGCCAACAGCCAGUCUUCGUGUUGAACCUCGCAAUUUUGUAAGCGCUGCCUCGCAUUUUCAGGUUAGUAAAAUCCAGUACCUCUAAUUAAGCCACAUUCAUAUAAACAUACUGCAUGUGGUCGUAUCAACAAAGCAGUGCAUACCACAUUCAUGUAUUACAAAUUUGAAAUUAUUCUGAAUUGUUUCUCAAACUUGAACUACCUACAAAAUCAUGUCUCAGCCAAAAUUCUAUAUAAAAUCAUGUCUCAACCAAAAUUCUAGUGAUGAAAUCUAUCCCUAACAUGAGAGACACCUUGUUCAUACAUCAACGAAUUCACAGCAAUAAUGAUCAGGCCAUGCAAGAAUAAAAAACUACAUCGAACAAACAUAUCCAAGUAUAACACCAUUCAAUUAAUUACAUGAGCAGCAAACAAACAAUACCCAAGAACCCACAAUUAUCCAGCAGCCUCAUAACAUUAUCCAAACCCACAAAAGAAGCAACGCGUAAAACAUAUUACAUUUUCAGAACUAAAAUACAAUAACCGCAUAACCCACACUUAAAAAACUCAUAAAAGUAAAAAAAAAAAAUAAUAAUAAUAAUAAUAAUAAUAACAGCACCAGAAGCAGAACUGGAACAUUUCGCUGACACCAGCACAACCUUAUCCACAAACAUGACAUGUCUCCAGCUAAUCAAUUAAAUAAUCAACAGCAUAAAAACCCAUGAAUAAAAAACAACCACAUUUUACCGUUCCAAAACAACCUUAUCCAAACGUUUAACUAAAAACUAAGCACAGGAAAUGACAGGAACCCAAGAUUUUAGAACAAAAUGUAGACUUCUAAUAAAAAUUAUACCUGAAGAUUGUGCUCCUUGAUAUGGGCCCAUAUAAGCUUGAGAGCCUGAGUACGAGAGACCUCAGGAGCACCAAUAAAGUCCGCCAUUUCAGGUGAGACUCGCCUCGGCUUCAUUAUGCCGCGUGGAGCACGGUUUCCGGUCGAUGCCGUGGCGCAGGUAACUACAGUACUACGCACCAUGCGCGGGUUCGCGGGAGGCGCAGCCAGAAACCUGAGAGGAAGAGUGGAUGUAGGAGAAGGAAACUUGAGAAGCGGCACCGUUUCGGUGGAUAGGAAAGUAGAGAAAAUCCCUGAAGAAAUUGCCAUUUGAAAAAAGAAAAAAACUCGAGAAUUUUGUGUUUCUGAGAGAGGGGGAGGGUUUUGAAUUAGCUUGAUUUUUUUUUUUUUCCUUUUAAAUUUUGGUGUUUUGAGAGAAUGCGAAGAGAGAUAAGGGUUUUUUGGGUUUUGUGCGAGUGAGAAACACAGAAUUUGUCUGAUCCCGCCUUAAUCCUGGCGUACUAUUCUUUAACUUUUUCACGAUUUUUUAAAUACUUGAAUGCCCCUGCCUGGGUCAAGCACUAUAAAAAAAACAGAUCGUUCGAUUUUUGUUGGGUCAAGAGUGUCCUGGUGUUUGAGGACAGACAUCCACCAGAAAUUUGGGCAGUUUGAGGAUGGGGAUGGAGGAGUUGGGUUGGGCUAAAGGAGAAAUAGAAAAGGCCAAUAUAUACAAUGGUAGACCUGGGAAUAAGUAGUGGAUCUGGGUUUCAGAAUUAGGUUUUAGCUUUCAUUUCAUUCUCUGACAUGGGCUUUAGGUGACGGAGGUGUGGUUGAGGGUUUUGGCAAAGGAUAGAUGUGCCACCGGCAAAGUCCAUGAUGCAAAUGUUCUAACAUCUGACAUUUCACGACAAGAGACAGAGACAACAACGAUGAUAAGAGUCUCGCGGUCAAAUUAACUACUUACAUAUUUACAUGCACAGAGAUACCGUGUAAAAUUAUCUAAUAUUAACUAGGAUAGGAUAUUGAUAAACUGAUUAGGUUUUAGAUUUAUUAUAUAAAAAUUAUUAGUUUAAGUUUUAUAAAUUUUAUAGUUUGGAGAUUUAUAUAAUUAUUAAUUUUAGAAUUCAUGGAAUUAGUUAAGAUUCGCGCAAACUAAUCCGAAUACUCAUGUUAAUAAAAAAAAAUUACCCAAUAUUCUAUUAUAUUUCUUUCUUUUCCAUAUAAUGAUACUAGUGAAAUUUCAUUACGUAAUAAUUAUUCGUUAACCCUACUUAGACAUGAAGGGGAAAAAGCAUAUAAAAUAAAAGUAUUGAAUUAUUGUUUGGACAGCGUUGUCUGAUAAAAAGAGUAGAAUCUCUUUUUCCCGUAAUAAUUGUCUUGAGAAGUCAAAUUGUGUGGCUUUUUUUUAUUUUGUCCGAGAAUAUAAUUUAUCUUUCCCCAGGGACAAGCUCUGCUAGCUAUCUUGAACUGUUAAUGCCUCAUUCUCUUUGACAGAACAUCCAUCCAAGACCCUCUGCAUGCCUGCUAACCAGCUCUCAAGAAUUGAUAAAAUUAAGCCAAUUGACGAGAAAGGCUCGUUGAUGCCGUCGUCUGGCCUGGAUGUAUCGCGUCGCAUUUUAGCCAAAUUGAUCAAAAUUAAAACACAUGGCACCAAUUAACUUUCUAGCACAAAUACAACAGCUAAAAAAAAGGGUAUUUCUCUCUAAUAAAUGUAUGGUUUUCUUUUCUUUUCUUUUCUUCUCAUAAAAGGGAAAGGCCUGUCCACGACGAAAGUGGAAUAUACUGUUACAACUUUAAUAUAGUGAUGAAGCCAAACCAAAAUGCAGUCCCUCCAUGCAUGAUUAGUGUUGUUAUGGUCCGACUAUUUGCCCUAGCUAGUAAAACCUUUCCCGGCUUGCAGUUGAAACCACGUUAUCAUAAAGGCAGCCUAGGAUUAAUUAAGAGGUAGGAAGGAGGUCAAUUUAACCUCAAGGAAAAGAAACUAAAGGGCCAACAAGAGGAGGAUAGCAAGUUACAAUCAUUCACAUUGCAGGAAAUGAUCGUUAAACUAACUUGCCCCCCCCCCCCACAGUCCACGUUCCCUUUUACUUUACUCUCGUUUACAUGGACUUUGGACCUACCUUUUGUAUGAUUUGUCCUCAUGAACCGUACCUCUUAUAUAUAGUAAUGUUUCAAUUCGAUCGGACCAGGAAAAUCAAGAUUCCAGAGAGUAAUCUUGUUCGAUAAUUAUCGUGUAAAAUGCGAGAGGAAACGUGUAUGUUAACAACUGAAAGGUACUCUAAAAAAAAUGGGGGUGUUGUUGUGGAUUGAAUUAUGGAGGGAGUUGAGAAGGCAAAUCCUUGACAGGCGUUAUAAUGGCACUGUGAUACAUGUGGACAAUGCUAAGAUAAAGGAUUGAAGAAGAAGCCAUUAAUUGUCACAUUGUUUAACAUGGAUUGGAAGGGCUAGGCACUGGCUAUAUAUCAAUUUCAGUUUCUAUGGAAUGCCCAGUCAGUCGGUGCUUUUUUUGCGUUGAGAAUAAUCAACCACCUAAAUUUCUGCUUUCAUCACUGCAUAAGUGGAAGAAUCCUCUCUCUCUCUCUUUUUGCGUGGGAUUUCUUUUUUUCUCUUUAUAUUUCUUUUUGUUUUUUGUCUAAGUGAUGUCUCUAAUUGAUUGAUUUUCACGUAUGGAUCAAUUAUGUCAAGAUUUAAAGAUUCGUGAAAACUUUACUCCUCGCAAUCUAAGUAAUCUUACCUGAUUUUGAACUUUUAAAAACUGGAAAUUAAACAGUGUAAUUAUUAAUCGUUUGACCAGUUCCUCAAUGUCAAAUAUGCAAAUACAAUGAAAUUCUCCGACCAUCAAUCUCCAAACAAAAAAGAAACAUACAACGAAAAGGACUAUAAGCCUAUAAUUAAACGCUUGUUGAGAAAGAUAACUGCAAACCUACAGGGACCUCGGUGAUGGAGAUGGAGAUGGUGAUGGUGAUAGGUCAAUAAAAACAGAACCCUUGAUUAAGCUAUUAGUAAUCAUAAUACUGCAGAGGAGUUUCUUGGGGUCUUAUGAAAACGAACAUCUUAAUUCUUUCAUCUUUAUACCAAAAAAAAGAAGAAGAAAAAGGAAAGAAAAUCUAACGGAGGAUUGGAUUAUAAGCAAAGGUCAUCCAUCUACCAUUUCCUUUCCAAAUUCUAACCAGUCUGGAUGAGACACGUGAACCCAGUUUAAUGAUCCCUCACACUCAACAAGCUUAUUAGGAGUUAGGACCACCCAAAAAAAAAAAAAAAAACAGUAUCUUUUACUGGUAGAACUGGUUGCAGGCUCACGGCAACACAUGUAGCUGGAACUCGUUGGAAAUUUUACUCGUUAUCAUCGUUUUUUUCUGCAUAAUUUUCAUGUCUCCAGGCCUAAUUUUGUAUUUAUUAUUCAAACUCAACGACGAACUGGCAAGGAUUAUUUAGCCUCCAGGCUCCCUAAAGAGCGCCUGUCACGGCGAGACAGCUAGCACAGCAAGGGCCACCACACAAUGGCGGUGCUCCAACAUACCAACUAAAAUUUGGCAGAUUAUAGCCAAAACUUAAGCGUAAAAUAUACAUCUGCCAGUGCCAAUCCAAUGGCAAUGUUAUGAUUAAGGGCCAGCUCAUAUGAGGGCAUGGCCCACUGAUCAUAAUCCUCCUGUUGCUUAUUCGGUAAAAAGGAUCGCUCAUUAUUCUUGACUAGUAGAAUACCUCUCAUUUUCACAGUUGUCGAGUUGGAUUUGAAGAUUAAUUCAAGAAAUGCGAGUCAAUUCAUGUAUUAGUGAAUUAAUAAUAUGAUAUAUUAAAAACAAUCCAACAUAUUGAAUUUAUAUACAUAUAUAUUUUAAUUUCAACAUAAUUCUUAACAUUGAUUUUAACACAAUUCUUAAUUAAUUGAAAAGGGCAAAGAUUUAAAGACUUGAAACUUGACUUAACAAGUAUUAAUUAAAAUAUUUAAAAUAUAAAUCAAACUUAAAAUCUUAAACAUUUAUAUGACAAUCAUAAUUAAAAAAAUGCAAGUUCUUUCACCCAUGCAUAAUAAAAUUUGAUUGUAUGAACAAGACUAGGAAUUCUCGAUGUGCCUGAUUUAUUUAGUUUAUUUUCAUUUAAAAUUGAAGAAAGAUUUAUUUUAUUGAGUUUUUUUUAUUUAAUCUGAACUAUUGAAACCGAUAUUGAGCUCUACAUUCGCUAGUGGUUGACAAAUGCAUGGCCAUUUUUAAGGACAAAAGAAAAUCAUUCCAACAAAAUCAUUAAUAAUCAUGAUUUUUUGAAUCAUGUUAAUGUCCGACGACUCUACCAUUUUCACUCCUCCCACAGAGAGAGGACAACCCCCUAAGCUAACCCAUAUUCAUCAUUAAUACACAACUUAAAGAGUAACUAACAAUUCUUCUUCUUCUUUUUUUUUUAAGGAAAAAAAAGCUGGCUGACUGCUACUAACGUGUCACCCAGAUCUCAUAUCCAAAUCACAUGCAUUGCUGGUCCCACAUCAAACAACAUAAUCGACGCCUCAGAUCUGUUUGGUAGCUCAUUGGCCCCACCAAUACCUCUCGAACUUCCGAACCUUCUUCCUUCUACUCUAUUUAUAAUCCUCCCUUCCUUUCUUUAUUUCCUCACUGAUCAGGACUGCACGCAAAGAGCAGAGAGAGAGAGAGAGUAUCAAAACUAGCAAAAAAUGAUGCUAAAAAAAGCUGUCAUCCUUCUUUCUUUGAUCUGCAUUUCGAUUGCUGGUGUUUCUGGUCAAGCACCAGCAACGUCACCAACAGCAACACCAGCACCACCCACACCAACUUCUUCUCCACCGCCAGCAACCACUCCUCCACCAGUUUCAGCCCCACCUCCUGUUACCCAAUCUCCACCUCCAGCUACCCCUCCUCCAGUUUCAGCCCCACCACCUGCCACCCCUCCUCCCGCAACCCCACCACCAGCAACUCCUCCUCCCGCCACCCCACCACCAGCAACCCCACCACCUGCUACUCCUCCACCAGCAACCCCUCCUCCCGCUGUUCCUCCACCAGCUCCAUUGGCAGCUCCACCAGCUCUUGUUCCAGCUCCAGCUCCCAGCAAGCCUAAGUUGAAGUCUCCAGCUCCAUCUCCCCUGGCAUUGAGUCCUCCAUCUCCAC
rnacentral:lncRNA from 1 species